rnacentral:rRNA from 1 species
AACGAACGCUGGCGGCAGGCCUAACACAUGCAAGUCGAACGGGCGUAGCAAUACGUCAGUGGCAGACGGGUGAGUAACGCGUGGGAACGUGCCCCAAGGUACGGAACAACUUCGGGAAACUGGAGCUAAUACCGUAUGUGCCCGAAAGGAGAAAGAUUUAUCGCCUUGGGAUCGGCCCGCGUCGGAUUAGCUAGUUGGUAGGGUAACGGCCUACCAAGGCGACGAUCCGUAGCUGGUCUGAGAGGAUGGCCAGCCACACUGGGACUGAGACACGGCCCAGACUCCUACGGGAGGCAGCAGUGGGGAAUAUUGGACAAUGGGCGAAAGCCUGAUCCAGCCAUGCAGCGUGAGUGAUGAAGGCCUUAGGGUUGUAAAGCUCUUUCGCCAGGGACGAUAAUGACGGUACCUGGAUAAGAAGCCCCGGCUAACUUCGUGCCAGCCGCCGCCGUAACAC